GAUGAACGCUGACAGCAUGCUUAACACAUGCCAGUCUUUGGCGAAGCUGUGCUUGCACAGCCUAGCCAAGGCGGACGGGUGAGUAACGCGUAAGGAACUUGCCCUGCAGUCAGGGAUAACAGACGGAAACGACUGAUAAGACCUGGUAAAGUCAGGCGGACUCAUGUCCAGCCUGAUGAAAAGAGAUGCUGCAGGAGAGCCUUGCGUCCUAUUAGCUUGUUGGUGGGGUAACGGCCCACCAAGGCGAUGAUAGGUAGCCGGCCUGAGAGGGUGGACGGCCACAAGGGGACUGAGAUACGGCCCUUACUCCUACGGGAGGCAGCAGUGGGGAAUAUUGGACAAUGGGGGCAACCCUGAUCCAGCAAUUCUGUGUGCACGAUGAAGGUUUUCGGAUUGUAAAGUGCUUUCAGCAGGGAAGAAAAAAAUGACGGUACCUUCAGAAGAAGCGACGGCUAAAUACGUG
rnacentral:rRNA from 1 species